AGGCGCAGUCCUGUCCUGUCCCCAGUUCUCCACCGCCCCUUGCGCGCCUCCCUUCGUCAACCAUAGCCGCCAUGCCAAGCAUCCCUCCCCCUCCUGUCCUCCUCCUCCUCCUCUCCCUUCCGCUGCUCCUAAGCAUAUUCCUUCUUUCGACUUGGCCGUUUUGGUUAUCUGUCCCAUCAAUUCUUCUCUGUUUUGGUGAAGGAUGUUUGGUGCAUCUGUUCAUGCCUUGUUGUCUUCAAAUCCUGCCAGAUGCAGAUCCACUUCCCUUGAGAAUAAAGACCCAGAUCCGCCGAGCCCCUCACUGGUGUUCAACUGUGCCGCUGGUCCAAUAAAGUUUUGAUCUUGCUGUGGGUUUCUGCGAGUAUUGCUAGGUUCUUUGUGCAUCUUACCACAUGAUGAAUUCUUUUAGUGGUUCCUGUCUCUCUUGUUUGAUUCUAUAGCAUAAAUUUGAAAUUAUCCAUGCAAUACUAUGUGAAAUUUCUUGUUCCGUUCAUGCCCAAUUCUUCCUCUAUUUUGUUUCCUAACAGGUUAUUUGGGCAUGCUGAUGACCAAUUUGGAUCCAUGAAGACAGUUUGGUGAUUAAUCCACCUUUUUAUUGGUUCUCUUUUGUCGUUCACGCCUAUUCGGCAACAUGUUGGUGAGAUAUGCCCGAUUGAUUUGCCUUGAAUCUAGUCCCCGUCCCCAACCUCCUCUCCCUCUCAUACCCCACACCAUGGCCGUCCAACCUUUGCUCCUGGAAGCUGUACCCCAAACCAUUUCUUUCAGUGUAAGGGGUUGUUUGAUGAUUCUUGACACACUUCUAAAAACAAAAUCAUGCCCCGACCUGUUGGAUAUCAUCAACAUGAAUGGUAUAUUUCCUUGCCUUUUUGCAACGAUAAUCUUCAAGGUAAGAGGGAUUAUGUUUGUUACUCCUACUUCAGUGAUUCAAGUAUUUGAGAGAUCACAAAUUCUGUGUAGUCUUUAGAUUUAGUCUAGCAUGAUUCAGUGAUUUACAAGUAUUCAGGAAGUGUGGCCAAAUGUGUGAGCUAGAUUCUGCGGAGUUAGUAUAUUACCACCCAGUGUAGUGCUUUUGUGGCUAUAUGUUUGUGAAAACACAAAGAAAUUGCUUGUCUUAUCCAAUAUUGCCUAAAAAACCACGAACCACCAGAAGAUAUUGUCAUAGUAUUUUAGCUAUCUAUUUUUUUUCAUUUAAUCAUGGACGCAUUAGUCUGUUAUCUACUCGAAUGACACUCCUCUAACACCAGAUUUUAAUCAACUCUACUGCAUGCAGGAUCUUGACCUUACAAGACCUGCAGCCCCAAGGAACCCUCCAAGACCCCAGUUUGAAACAUCUACAAAGGAGGUUUUAAGGAAAGCCGAUUUUAGGGUUAGAGACGCCCUUGCUUCAAAGACCUGAAAUACCGAAGCUUCUGAAGUGCACAUCUACACCUUGCCUUCAAGUUUCCUCUGUUUGAUGGUGGUAAUUACACGGCCAACCAAGAUAUGCUGUUUCUGACUGCCUUUAUUACCUCCCUUGUUUGAAUGAAGCCUUGAAAGGUAUCUUCUUCAAUCCUUUCUCAUGGAGUAUCGAGUAUUUCCUUGCAGUAGCUGAUGUGCACACUCCAUGCACUUUUUUUUAGAAAAAACCAUUCCAUAUGCUUUCAGCGUCAUUUUGUAGUGUGCAAAGCUGUAGUAAAAUACUGAUAUUUUCUGGCAGCCGGCAGAAUAUUUGAUGAGCAAACUAUGUACAUAAAUGAUGCAUUACUUGUUAUUCUUACAUGUUAGUUGUGAAUCGCAUCAUCAAUAGCUUAGGUAAGAUCACUAUGAUGUCAUCCUUCCACGGUUGAACUGUUAUUACUUAUAAAUUUAGUUUGUACA